ACUAAGUAGAGGAAGAAAAGAAAAGCAUACUUGAUACUUUGCCCAACACCACCGACCAUGGGUGCGAGAAAUGCUGCUAUGUGCUUUGUGCUAAUACUUGCGUUGUUUGCGAAUCAUGGUUCCGCAGAACAUAAGUGCUGGGAAAGUACCUCCGGUGCUCCGCUCUGUGUAGGCUUUCUGUGCAAGGCGACAUGCUUGAUUGGAGGCAAAAUGUUUAACGCCAUCGUAAAGGAACACAGGUGUAUAGGGCCAGCAUUGAGCAGCGAAUGCUACUGCUAUUUCUGCGACAAAUAGUCGGUUAGCACAGACAAUAGUUCUUGAUUUAUUGGUUUAGCAUAUAAAAGGGGAUGAAUAAUUUCUUCCAGUUGUCAACCUCAUUGUUCAGCAAUGUUGUAAUGAUGUGAAUUUUAUAAACAAAUGCAAUAUUACCCCGACAA